GAUGAACGCUAGCUACAGGCUUAACACAUGCAAGUCGAGGGGAAACGACAUCGAAAGCUUGCUUUUGGUGGGCGUCGACCGGCGCACGGGUGAGUAACGCGUAUCCAACCUGCCCACCACUUGGGGAUAACCUUGCGAAAGUAAGACUAAUACCCAAUGAUAUCCCACGAAGGCAUCCGAAUGGGAUUAAAGAUUUAUCGGUGAUGGAUGGGGAUGCGUCUGAUUAGCUUGUUGGCGGGGUAACGGCCCACCAAGGCAACGAUCAGUAGGGGUUCUGAGAGGAAGGUCCCCCACAUUGGAACUGAGACACGGUCCAAACUCCUACGGGAGGCAGCAGUGGGGAAUAUUGCACAAUGGGCGAAAACCCUGAUGCAGCAACGCCGCGUGAGUGAUGACGGCCUUCGGUGUAAAGCUCUGUCUUCAGGGAC
rnacentral:rRNA from 1 species